rnacentral:snRNA from 1 species
AGAUCUCUUGACUUUUUCGUGGCCUUGGCGUGAAGCAGUCGAACGCUUCAAUUGGGUGGCUGGUUCCUCGGAAGAAGCCGCAGCGACGAUGCUCCACGAUCCUGCGGGCGCUGUUGCCCGUGUGACUCUUGAAUUUGUUGUUGUCCACUGUCGUGAAUCUUUGGAGUGGGUCGAGACGGAUCUU